AGAUCCGAAAAAUUGCUUCGAUGAUGAUUUGUGUUCCUGUCUGGAUAAGACCUACUCAAAAAAAGAUCCUGGCUGGGAUAGCCUUUUGUCAACUCCCACCGUAUUGAUGUGUUAUAGCUGGACUGCGAAGCUUUCAUGUGAUGGAUGCAGACUUUGUCUUACUACUACUACUCCCCUUCUCUCAAAGUUCCUUACACAACUUGACCAACGCACUGAGCAGCUCAUGAAAGUGUUGAAGAAAAAAGGUGGCUCUGCAGGGAGGAAAAUCAGGAUCAUUAUGGCCCCAAUGACACAGGAAGCCGAUGGUACAGCUGUUGAGAGGAAGCUUGAGAAGUCACCUUUGGUAUCUACAGCAUUGAUGUUAAGGGAGGUGAUACCACCACUCCUCCAGCCGAUGUUGGAAUUGUGAUUCAGGGUGUUGAAGUUUUGCACGACUUGGGAGACUUUGCCUCUGCACGUGCCCUCAGUUAUCCUAACAGACUGAAAGCCUUCUUUGAAGUACUUCAAAAGUUCUUCCUUCAAAUGGAUGCUUGCAGACUCUCAACCAAGGUACAGCUGCUCAAGAACCAACUGUACGAAUGAGACAAUCACUGAUUUGGAUGCUGAAUGUUCCAUAGAACAGGAGAAAUAUUUUGGGCCGAAACUGAAAAUGGAACAGAGAAACUACACUUGAGUAAAACAACCAAUUUCUUUGCAAACUUUUGUAAAACUUACCAUACAUGAAAAGUGGUAGUUGAGUGUAGAGAAGUGAUGUAGAAUUGAGAGACCAUGCUGUGCAAAAACACUAAGCUGCAUCAAAAUCAAACUGCAAGGAAGUUGAAUCAUCAUACCAUCUUUCAUAUACCCGGGCCGUAAAAGAAAUGCUACUUUAACACAAAGUAGAUGUUUAAGUGUUAACAUCUAAAAUAAAGUCUCCAGUGGCAAGGCUGUUACAUGGAGAGACUAUUUUUUUUAAUGUAUUGUUUAUUAAUCCGU